GCCGGGUGUGGUGCUGCACACCUGUAAUCCCAGCACUUUGGGAGGCUGAGGCAGAUGGAUUGUCUGAGCUCAGGAGUUCGAGACCAGCCUGGGCAACAUGGCAAAACCCUGCCUCUA
ensembl:misc_RNA Metazoa_SRP Metazoan signal recognition particle RNA